rnacentral:rRNA from 1 species
GGCAAAAGCUCAAAUUUGAAAUCUGCGUAAGCCGAGUUGUAAUUUGAAGAUGGCUACUUUGGUAAUGGCUCUUGUCUAUGUUCCUUGGAACAGGACGUCACAGAGGGUGAGAAUCCCGUGCGAUGAGAUGUCCAUUACCGUGUAAAGUGCUUUCGAAGAGUCGAGUUGUUUGGGAAUGCAGCUCUAAGUGGGUGGUAAAUUCCAUCUAAAGCUAAAUAUUGGCGAGAGACCGAUAGCGAACAAGUACAGUGAUGGAAAGAUGAAAAGAACUUUGAAAAGAGAGUGAAAAAGUACGUGAAAUUGUUGAAAGGGAAGGGCUUGAGAUCAGACUUGGUAUUUUGUAUGGCUUGCUUUCGGGCGGGUCCUCUGCAGUUUACUGGGCCAGCAUCGGUUUGGGUGGCAGGAUAAUAGCAUUGGAAUGUGGCUCUACUUCGGUGGAGUGUUAUAGCCUUUGUUGAUACUGCCUGCCUAGACCGAGGACUGCGUCUUUUGACUAGGAUGCUGGCAUAAUGAUCCUAAGCCGCCCGU